CAGUAGCCGCGGUAAUACGUAGGGUGCGAGCGUUAAUCGGAAUUACUGGGCGUAAAGCGUGCGCAGGCGGCUUUGCAAGACAGAUGUGAAAUCCCCGGGCUCAACCUGGGAACUGCAUUUGUGACUGCAAGGCUAGAGUACGGUAGAGGGGGAUGGAAUUCCGCGUGUAGCAGUGAAAUGCGUAGAUAUGCGGAGGAACACCAAUGGCGAAGGCAAUCCCCUGGACCUGUACUGACGCUCAUGCACGAAAGCGUGGGGAGCAAACAGGAUUAGAUACCCGAGUAGUCCCUGUCUCUUAUAC
rnacentral:rRNA from 1 species